rnacentral:rRNA from 1 species
AUUGAACGCUGGCGGCAGGCCUAACACAUGCAAGUCGAACGAGUGGCGGACGGGUGAGUAAUGUCUGGGAAACUGCCCGAUGGCGGGGGAUAACUACUGGAAACGGUAGCUAAUACCGCAUACCCUCGUAUGUGCCCAGAUGGGAUUAGCUAGUAGGUGGGGUAAUGGCUCACCUAGGCGACGAUCCCUAGCUGGUCUGAGAGGAUGACAAGGCACACUGGAACUGAGACACGGUCCAGAAUCCUACGGGAGGCAGAAGUGGGGAAUAUUGCACAAUGGGCGCAAGCCUGAUGCAGCCAUGCCGCGUGUAUGAAGAAGGCCUUCGGGUGGUAAAGUACUUUCAGCGAGGAGGCGUUACUCGCAGAAGAAGCACCGGCUAACGCCGUGCCAGCCGCCGCGGUAAUUC